AAAAAAUUAACGCAAAAAGAAAAAUAAAACAUAUAACACCUAUCCCAAUACUUUAACCAGUAACCAUUAAGCCAUUUCACUCUCCAAGCUUCUCUAGUCGCCCCCUAUCCCCCAACAAAAUAGAUUAAUAAUUUUCUAUCAAAACCCACCUGAAAAAACCCCUAAAUUACAACACCUAACCUAAUAAUUUAGUGAAUUAAAAGACACCCAAUAACAAUCUCAUGAGCCCAUAUAAAAAAAAACAAAACUUCAAUAAAUUUAGAAUCUCAAAUAUCUAUAUUUUCAUGCACUUUCUCAGUAACCAAACAGAAAGCAAUAAAAUUCUGACUGAACCUGCAAAUCAGAAUAAGUAAAAAAGAAAAACAGAAAAAGGGUUUUGUCGGAGAAGGAAGGGGGUUAGGUAGCUAACCAAAACCAGUGCAGUGAACGGUGACGUUUUGACCAGGUCUGAUCACCUGCUACUCCACUCCCAUGUUUGUGUUUCUCUCAAAUUGCUUUGCUUUGCCUGUCUUUUAUAGUUUUAUUUACAUACAGUACAGUGCCGCUGCUUGCUAUACAUUGCCGGACUAGGGGCUGGCUGGGCCCAGAGCUUGGAUUGCCGGUUUGUUUGGUUAAUAACACGCUGAGAUUCAUUUUAAACGACGUUGUUUUGAAAAAGAUUUUAAGAAAAAAAA
rnacentral:lncRNA from 1 species